CUGCUCACUUCGGCAGCACAUCUCCUAAAACUGGAAUGGCAACAGAGAUUAGCAUGGCCCCCGUACGAAGAUGGCACACAAAUCUGUGAAGUGUUCUGUAUUUUU
ensembl:snRNA U6 U6 spliceosomal RNA